UAGGGAAUCUUCCGCAAUGGACGAAAGUCUGACGGAGCAACGCCGCGUGAGCGAAGAAGGCCUUCGGGUCGUAAAGCUCUGUUGUUAGGGAAGAACAAGUAUCGGAGUAACUGCCGGUACCUUGACGGUACCUAACCAGAAAGCCACGGCUAACUACGUGCCAGCAGCCGCGGUAAUACGUAGGUGGCAAGCGUUGUCCGGAAUUAUUGGGCGUAAAGCGCGCGCAGGCGGUCUCUUAAGUCUGAUGUGAAAGCCCCCGGCUCAACCGGGGAGGGUCAUUGGAAACUGGGAGACUUGAGUGCAGAAGAGAAGAGCGGAAUUCCACGUGUAGCGGUGAAAUGCGUAGAGAUGUGGAGGAACACCAGUGGCGAAGGCGGCUCUUUGGUCUGUAACUGACGCUGAGGCGCGAAAGCGUGGGGAGCAAACAGG
rnacentral:rRNA from 1 species